CUUUGGGAUAACCCUCGGAAACGGGGGCUAAUACCGGAUAUUACCUUUCACCGCAUGGUGGGGGGUGGAAAGUUCUUCGGCUUGGGAUGGGCUCGCGGCCUAUCAGCUUGUUGGUGGGGUAAUGGCCUACCAAGGCGACGACGGGUAGCCGGCCUGAGAGGGCGACCGGCCACACUGGGACUGAGACACGGCCCAGACUCCUACGGGAGGCAGCAGUGGGGAAUAUUGCACAAUGGGCGGAAGCCUGAUGCAGCGACGCCGCGUGAGGGAUGACGGCCUUCGGGUUGUAAACCUCUUUCAGCAGGGACGAAGCGUAAGUGACGGUACCUGCAGAAGAAGCGCCGGCCAACUACGUGCCAGCAGCCGCGGUAAGACGUAGGGCGCGAGCGUUGUCCGGAUUUAUUGGGCGUAAAGAGCUCGUAGGCGGCUUGUCGCGUCGACUGUGAAAACCCACAGCUCAACUGUGGGCUUGCAGUCGAUACGGGCAGGCUAGAGUUCGGUAGGGGAGACUGGAAUUCCUGGUGUAGCGGUGAAAUGCGCAGAUAUCAGGAGGAACACCGGUGGCGAAGGCGGAUCUCUGGGCCGAUACUGACGCUGAGGAGCGAAAGCGUGGGGAGCGAACAGGAUUAGAUACCCUGGUAGUCCACGCUGUAAACGUUGGGCGC
rnacentral:rRNA from 1 species